GAUGAAGAACGUAGCGAAGUGCGAUAAGUAAUGUGAAUUGCAGAAUUCCGUGAAUCAUCGAAUCUUUGAACGCAAAUUGCACUCUCUGGCAACCCGGGGAGUAUGCCUGUUUGAGGGUCAGUGUUAAUAAAAAUCGGGUUCGUUGCAAUUUUUGUGACGUUUCCGGAGUUUGAGUUAUCUUAACUUCGGUUUUAAGAGGCUUAAAAUUGACCUUUUUUUGUGCAUUUUAGACGUACAUAAGUUUUUUUUUUAUUCGUCCAUCCUAAUGCCAAAAUCUAUUAGAUGCGACCAUAUCUUGUGGUUCCGUGUCUAUAAAUUUUUCAUGAUUUGACCUCAAAUCAGGUAGGAACACCCGCUGAACUUAAGCAUAUCAAUAAGCGGAGGA
rnacentral:misc_RNA from 1 species